rnacentral:sRNA from 1 species
UCGGUAGACCUCCAUUGCUCUAUGAUGAUAGAGGAUUCGGCUUCAAACAUGGUCGGCAAUUCCAUCUUGUUCACGGUGCUUGCACAUCCUAUGGUCUUGCAAAAUCCUAGAGACAGGGCCCGAGCUGCUAUUGCUAGCACUGCUUCACAGGAGUUUACAUGUCCAGUACAGCAGCCUUCAGGAUGCUGGGGUCGUUGAAUUAAAAAACAAAAAAAAUAUCAAACAAUUAGUGCUAUCUCUACGCUCUGUCAGCCUUAGAGCAAUUGAGCUUCGCCAUUCAACAUUAAUAAACGGAAAAGAGAGACCGGCUUAUAUGCAGAAGAACCUCGAGAGCAUUGUGCUAAUAUGCUAUGGUAUAUACCACAGAUGACAGACCUACGCUAGUUGUGGACGUCUUCCACUGUCAUUCUUGCAAAUACUUUGACGUCGGCAUACACACGUGGUGUUAAGUCAACGGUGUUAUAACUUGGGGGGAAGUUCCAACUUGCCCGCCUUCGGGUUUGGCAGCCAUUUACGGGACGCAACUUGGAAAUUCCAAACCGGCUCCUUGGUAGCUAUUAGUUGGUCUUUAUUAAUAUACAUGGCGUACAUAAUGAGCCACUUACCUGAGAUGGCCUGGUACUUGCUCGGCCCAGCAACUCGCUUCCAGGAGGUUGAUGCCAAAGUUCAAUAUGAAAUUGCCCAGGAGCGUCUAUACGUUCAAAGGCAUUCUGGUACCUCUGCACUUCCAACUUCGCAAGAGCUGAGAGUCAUCCAUGAGAGCACUGGUGCGGAAUUACCUAGCCACCUUACACCGACUGGGCUUCUAUUCUCUGGGAUAUCGCAGGACGCACCAGAUUUCUAUGAAUUCUACCCCGAUCUAGAGCCCCUUCUAGCAAAAGUGGACUUUACUAGGCUCCCGUAUCGCCGCAGCAUCAAGUAUGAAGGGAGCUUCAACUGGAAAACUAUGGUGGAUGGUUAUCAAGAAUGUCUACAUUGUCAAUAUACUCACCCUUCAUUUUCUAUCUAUUACCCCCCGACAUUCUACACUGUCUAUAACCACUUGAACUUUUCCCAACAUAUCGCCGACCCAAAGAAGCCAGAUGACGGGUUAUUCCUCUACUUCUUUCCAAAUUGCACACUAAACGUGUACGGCGGAGGAAUGUCCUCGUUCCGAGUUUGUCCAACUGGUGAUCCUAACGUUACUAGGAUGGAAUUCGACUACUACCAUCUCGAAUCAGGCGAGAAGUUCGAAGAAUAUUUCAAAUUUGUUCGUCAGGUGGCUAUGGAAGACUAUGAGCUGUGUGAAAGGGCGCAGGGAAACUUGCAGAAUGGCGUGUAUAACGAGGGAAUUUUGAAUCCGGUCAAAGAGACUGGAGUGGCAUACUAUCAAAGUCGGGUCUUUGACCUAGUCACUGAGCAGCAUAGGCUCGAGAAAGCGAGCGAAGAUCCGGAAAAGGCGGUGGAGGGCGGGAAGAACCACUCUACACAAGUUGCUACAGUUCUCUGUAACUAGUCACCAGAUCAUCACCAUGUGUAUCCUUUGGAAUCACACCUACAGUUAAUAAAUGUCCGACA